CCUACGGGUGGCAGCAGUGGGGAAUAUUGCACAAUGGGGGAAACCCUGAUGCAGCGACGCCGCGUGAGUGAAGAAGUAUCUCGGUACGUAAAGCUCUAUCAGCAGGGAAGUAAAUGACGGUACCUGACUAAGAAGCCCCGGCUAACUACGUGCCAGCAGCCGCGGUAAUACGUAGGGGGCAAGCGUUAUCCGGAUUUACUGGGUGUAAAGGGAGCGUAGACGGCAGCACAAGUCUGGAGUGAAAUCCCGGGGCUUAACCCCGAAACUGCUUUGGAAACUGUGCGGCUGGAGUGCAGGAGGGGUAGGCGGAAUUCGUAGGGUAGCGGUGAAAUGCGUAGAUAUUAGGAGGAACACCGAUGGCGAAGGCGGCUUACUGGACUGUAACUGACGUUGAGGCUCGAAAGCGUGGGGAGCAAACAGGAUUAGAUACCCCUGUAGUC
rnacentral:rRNA from 1 species